AGUUUGAUCCUGGCUCAGAACGAACGCUGGCGGCAGGCUUAACACAUGCAAGUCGAACGCAUCGCAAGAUGAGUGGCAGACGGGUGAGUAACGCGUGGGAAUCUACCGUGCCCUGCGGAAUAGCUCCGGGAAACUGGAAUUAAUACCGCAUACGCCCUACGGGGGAAAGAUUUAUCGGGGUAUGAUGAGCCCGCGUUGGAUUAGCUAGUUGGUGGGGUAAAGGCCUACCAAGGCGACGAUCCAUAGCUGGUCUGAGAGGAUGAUCAGCCACAUUGGGACUGAGACACGGCCCAAACUCCUACGGGAGGCAGCAGUGGGGAAUAUUGGACAAUGGGCGCAAGCCUGAUCCAGCCAUGCCGCGUGAGUGAUGAAGGCCUUAGGGUUGUAAAGCUCUUUCACCGGUGAAGAUAAUGACGGUAACCGGAGAAGAAGCCCCGGCUAACUUCGUGCCAGCAGCCGCGGUAA
rnacentral:rRNA from 1 species